rnacentral:lncRNA from 1 species
GAUUUCGAACUAUACAAAUGUAGAAGAGCAGUGAAAACAGAAAACUGUCAAUCAAGGAUUAAACCACUGACUAGUUAUAGCUUCCAUACACACGAACAAGAACCUCAUCCUCUGAUCUAUUGCAAGGCUUAUUGCUUCUGCUCACAGCGUUCUUGUUAAACAACCUGUCAAAUAGAUUAGUCAAUAAACAGAAAAACUGUUUUAUACAGCUAAGUUGGUACCAAAUAUAACCUGAUGGUAUAAGUUGUCAUCCAAUGACUAAACCAUACAGACAUUGCAAUUCAAAAUACCUGGGCUGGCCACCAUUACCCACGGAGCCUGACCCCUAUUAAAUCCCCAGGCAUGACCUUCCCCCUCAAUUGAUCAGCAGCGGCUUUCUCCUCCUCUUCCUUGGCAACAUGAAUUUCAUAAUUAACUUUGUAGUUGCAUCAGAAAGAAUUACAUGCACAACUCA